UACGUAGGGUGCGAGCGUUAAUCGGAAUUACUGGGCGUAAAGCGUGCGCAGGCGGUUAUGUAAGACAGAUGUGAAAUGCCCGGGCUUAACCUGGGAACUGCAUUUGUGACUGCAUGGCUAGAGUGUGUCAGAGGGGGGUAGAAUUCCACGUGUAGCAGUGAAAUGCGUAGAUAUGUGGAGGAAUACCGAUGGCGAAGGCAGCCCCCUGGGUCAAAACUGACGCUCAUGCACGGAAAGCGUGGGGAGCAAACAGG
rnacentral:rRNA from 1 species